ensembl:snRNA U6 U6 spliceosomal RNA
GUGCUCAUUUCAGCAGCACAUAUACUAUAAUUGGAAUGAUACAGAGAAGAUUAGCAUGGCCCCUGUAUAAGGAUGACAUGAAAUUUUGUGUAGCAUUUCAUAUAUUU